CCUACGGGUGGCAGCAGUGAGGAAUAUUGGGCAAUGGACGCAAGUCUGAACCAGCCAUGCCGCGUGCAGGAAGACGGCUCUAUGAGUUGUAAACUGCUUUUGUACGAGCGUAAAUCCUGACACGUGCAUCGGGUUGAAAGUAUCGUACGUAUAAGGAUCGGCUAACUCCGAGCCAGCAGCCGCGGUAAUACGGAGGAUUCAAGCGUUAUCCGGAUUUAUUGGGCUUAAAGGGUGCGUAGGCGGUUCGAUACGUUAGAGGUGAAAUCCCAGGGCUCAACUCCGGUACUGCCUCUGAUACUGUCGGGCUAGAGUGUAGUUGCGGUAGGCGGAAUGUAUGGUGUAGCGGUGAAAUGCAUAGAGAUCAUACAGAACACCGAUUGCGAAGGCAGCUUACCAAACUACGACUGACGUUGAGGCACGAAAGCGUGGGGAGCAAACAGGAUUAGAUACCCGAGUAGUC
rnacentral:rRNA from 1 species